rnacentral:tRNA from 1 species
UUGACUACGAAUCAAAAGGCCGGGAGUUCGAAUCUCUCAGGGCGCG